rnacentral:rRNA from 1 species
GGUUAAGCGACUAAGCGUACACGGUGGAUGCCCUGGCAGUCAGAGGCGAUGAAGGACGUGCUAAUCUGCGAAAAGCGUCGGUAAGGUGAUAUGAACCGUUACAGCCGGCGAUGUCCGAAUGGGGAAACCCAGUGCAAUUCGUUGCACUAUCGUUAACUGAAUACAUAGGUUAACGAGGCGAACCGGGGGAACUGAAACAUCUAAGUACCCCGAGGAAAAGAAAUCAACCGAGAUUCCCCCAGUAGCGGCGAGCGAACGGGGAGCAGCCCAGAGUCUGAAUCAGCUUGUGUGUUAGUGGAACGGUCUGGAAAGUCCGACGGUACAGGGUGAUAGUCCCGUACACCAAAAUGCACAGGUUGUGAACUCGAAGAGUAGGGCGGGACACGUGGUAUCCUGUCUGAAUAUGGGGGGACCAUCCUCCAAGGCUAAAUACUCCUGACUGACCGAUAGUGAACCAGUACCGUGAGGGAAAGGCGAAAAGAACCCCGGCGAGGGGAGUGAAAAAGAACCUGAAACCGUGUACGUACAAGCAGUGGGAGCACCUUCGGGUGUGACUGCGUACCUUUUGUAUAAUGGGUCAGCGACUUAUAUUCUGUAGCAAGGUUAACCGUAUAGGGGAGCCGCAGGGAAACCGAGUCUUAACUGGGCGUUAAGUUGCAGGGUAUAGACCCGAAACCCGGUGAUCUAGCCAUGGGCAGGUUGAAGGUUGGGUAACACUAACUGGAGGACCGAACCGACUAAUGUUGAAAAAUUAGCGGAUGACUUGUGGCUGGGGGUGAAAGGCCAAUCAAACCGGGAGAUAGCUGGUUCUCCCCGAAAGCUAUUUAGGUAGCGCCUCGUGAAUUCAUCUUCGGGGGUAGAGCACUGUUUCGGCUAGGGGGUCAUCCCGACUUACCAACCCGAUGCAAACUACGAAUACCGAAGAAUGUUAUCACGGGAGACACACGGCGGGUGCUAACGUCCGUCGUGAAGAGGGAAACAACCCAGACCGCCAGCUAAGGUCCCAAAGUCAUGGUUAAGUGGGAAACGAUGUGGGAAGGCACAGACAGCCAGGAUGUUGGCUUAGAAGCAGCCAUCAUUUAAAGAAAGCGUAAUAGCUCACUGGUCGAGUCGGCCUGCGCGGAAGAUGUAACGGGGCUAAACCAUGCACCGAAGCUGCGGCAGCGACACUAUGUGUUGUUGGGUAGGGGAGCGUUCUGUAAGCCUGCGAAGGUGACCUGUGAGGGUUGCUGGAGGUAUCAGAAGUGCGAAUGCUGACAUAAGUAACGAUAAAGCGGGUGAAAAGCCCGCUCGCCGGAAGACCAAGGGUUCCUGUCCAACGUUAAUCGGGGCAGGGUGAGUCGACCCCUAAGGCGAGGCCGAAAGGCGUAGUCGAUGGGAAACAGGUUAAUAUUCCUGUACUUGGUGUUACUGCGAAGGGGGGACGGAGAAGGCUAUGUUAGCCGGGCGACGGUUGUCCCGGUUUAAGCAUGUAGGCUGGUUGUCCAGGCAAAUCCGGAUAAUCAAGGCUGAGGUGUGAUGACGAGGCACUACGGUGCUGAAGUAACAAAUGCCCUGCUUCCAGGAAAAGCCUCUAAGCAUCAGGUAACAUUAAAUCGUACCCCAAACCGACACAGGUGGUCAGGUAGAGAAUACCAAGGCGCUUGAGAGAACUCGGGUGAAGGAACUAGGCAAAAUGGUGCCGUAACUUCGGGAGAAGGCACGCUGGUGUGUAGGUGAAGUCCCUGCGGAUGGAGCUGAGACCAGUCGAAGAUACCAGCUGGCUGCAACUGUUUAUUAAAAACACAGCACUGUGCAAACACGAAAGUGGACGUAUACGGUGUGACGCCUGCCCGGUGCCGGAAGGUUAAUUGAUGGGGUUAUCCGUAAGGAGAAGCUCUUGAUCGAAGCCCCGGUAAACGGCGGCCGUAACUAUAACGGUCCUAAGGUAGCGAAAUUCCUUGUCGGGUAAGUUCCGACCUGCACGAAUGGCGUAAUGAUGGCCAGGCUGUCUCCACCCGAGACUCAGUGAAAUUGAACUCGCUGUGAAGAUGCAGUGUACCCGCGGCAAGACGGAAAGACCCCGUGAACCUUUACUAUAGCUUGACACUGAACAUUGAGCCUUGAUGUGUAGGAUAGGUGGGAGGCUUUGAAGCGUGGACGCCAGUCUGCGUGGAGCCAACCUUGAAAUACCACCCUUUAAUGUUUGAUGUUCUAACGUUGGCCCCUGACCGGGGUUGCGGACAGUGUCUGGUGGGUAGUUUGACUGGGGCGGUCUCCUCCCAAAGCGUAACGGAGGAGCACGAAGGUUAGCUAAUCCUGGUCGGACAUCAGGAGGUUAGUGCAAUGGCAUAAGCUAGCUUGACUGCGAGCGUGACGGCGCGAGCAGGUGCGAAAGCAGGUCAUAGUGAUCCGGUGGUUCUGAAUGGAAGGGCCAUCGCUCAACGGAUAAAAGGUACUCCGGGGAUAACAGGCUGAUACCGCCCAAGAGUUCAUAUCGACGGCGGUGUUUGGCACCUCGAUGUCGGCUCAUCACAUCCUGGGGCUGAAGUAGGUCCCAAGGGUAUGGCUGUUCGCCAUUUAAAGUGGUACGCGAGCUGGGUUUAGAACGUCGUGAGACAGUUCGGUCCCUAUCUGCCGUGGGCGCUGGAGAAUUGAGGGGGGCUGCUCCUAGUACGAGAGGACCGGAGUGGACGCAUCACUGGUGUUCGGGUUGUCAUGCCAAUGGCACUGCCCGGUAGCUAAAUGCGGAAGAGAUAAGUGCUGAAAGCAUCUAAGCACGAAACUUGCCCCGAGAUGAGUUCUCCCUGAGACUUUAAGUCUCCUGAAGGAACGUUAAAGACGAUGACGUUGAUAGGCCGGGUGUGUAAGCGCAGCGAUGCGUUGAGCUAACCGGUACUAAUGAACCGUGAGGCUUAACCUU